CUGAACCAGCCAAGUAGCGUGAAGGAUGAAGGUCCUACGGAUUGUAAACUUCUUUUAUACGGGAAUAAAGUAUCCUACGUGUAGGAUUUUGUAUGUACCGUAUGAAUAAGCAUCGGCUAACUCCGUGCCAGCAGCCGCGGUAUUACGGAGGAUGCGAGCGUUAUCCGGAUUUAUUGGGUUUAAAGGGAGCGCAGACGGGAGAUUAAGUCAGUUGUGAAAGUUUGCGG
rnacentral:rRNA from 1 species